GCCGGGCAUGGUGGCGCACGCCUGUCAUCCCAGCGACUCUGGAGGCUGAGGCGAGAGGAUUCCAAGUUCAAGGCCAGCCUCAGCAACUUAGCAAGGCCCUAAGCAACUUAGUGAGACCCUGUCUCAA
rnacentral:sRNA from 1 species